rnacentral:lncRNA from 1 species
CUCUUCAAUAUUUAAAUUAACGAAUUGGCCACUAUUCUAGAAAAAUCCUCAGCCCCUGGUGUUAGUCUCCACAAUUCAGAAGUUAAAUGCCUACUCUUCGCAGAUGACCUAUGCCUGCUGUCACCCACAGCACAUGGCCUACAGCAGAGCCUGGACCUGCUAGAGCAGUGCUGCCAGACCUGGGCCCUGGCAGUAAACCCCAAAAAGACUAAAAUAAUGAUUUUCCAGAGAAGAUCCAGAUCUCAGGGAAUUAGAUCAAAGUUCUCAAUUGGUACAAAAUAUAUAGAGUACUGCACACACUACAAUUACUUAGGUUUAAAAAUAAGCUCAACUGGACACCAGUGAAUGAGCUGAGAGAGAAAGCACGCAGGGCAUUCUACACCAUUAAAAAGCUAAUUCAAAUUGAAAUACCUAUUAAAAUUUGGCUAAAACUAAUUGAAUAUGUCAUUGAACCAAUUGCACUUUAUGGCAGCGAGGUGUGGGGUCCACUUGCAAAACAAGAUUUCAUCAAAUGGGACAAACACCCCAUUGAAACCCUGCAUGCAGAGUUCUGUAAGAUUCUCCUACAUGUCCAGAGGAAAACUACAAACAAUGCAUGCAGGGCAGAAUUAGGCCAAUAUCCACCAAUAAUAAAAACUCAAAAAAUAGCAAUUAAGUUUUGGAAACAUCUAAAAUACCGUUACCCCCUCUCAUAUCAUUACCAAGCCCUGCAAUGCCAAGAGCUGAGCAAAGAAAAGAGUCCCCUCAUCCAGCUGGUCCUGGGGCUGAGUUCACAAACCUGUUCUACUAACGCACUGAAGCCUCAGGACCAGAACAUCCAAUCAAUCAGGAUAAACCAAAUUACAACACAGUCAAAACAAAACUGUAUUGCUUAUUGGGAAACACAAACACAAAGCAAAAUGCAGUGCUAUCUGGUCCUAAAUCGACAGUACACCGUGGCUAAAUAUUUGACCAUGGUUACUGAUCAAAACCUUAGAAAAACCUUGACAAAGUACAGGCUCAGUGAGCACAGCCUUGCCAUUGAGAAGGGUAGACACAGGAAAACCUGGCUCCCUGUAGAGGA